UGGACCCCAGCGGCAGGAUAUCCAAGCCCGCCAAUCCGCAAACGCCCAACGCCAAGUCAGCUCCGGGCCUUCUCACCCCAAACAAGGGACUGUGGAGCCCUAGUCCUUACAUUUUUGACCAGGAGGAAUGGGAUCUGAGGCUGCCUGCUAACGGGAGGAGGAGACUGACCCGGGAGGUGCCCGCGGCUGACCCCUUUUGAGUUCUUCAUUCUGGUCAUACCGAGGACCCCGGGAUCAAGCCAGAGGAAAUAGUAGCUACCGGGGAAGUUCCUCUUAUGGUGGUGGCAGGAGUGCAAGCAAACCCUAGGUUGUUACUGGGUCUUGGUCAGAGGCACCACUCAGUGGGACAUCAGUCACUACAAGAUCUUAACUACUUAUGAAUCAGAUAACUAAGAAAAUCAUUAUCUACUUGGUAUGUGUGACUAUAUGUUUGACUAUAACCCGAAGGUUGAAAUGUCAGAAAUCCCAGAAGCAGAGAGUUCCUGGAGGAUUUCAAGCCCAAGUAUGCCAGUUGGGGAAGACUAGAGAUUGAGAUAAGCUUCAACUGUACACUUGAACUUUAGGCUCUUAAGACGAACACAGAUUUGGAUUCAUUUGAGAUUUUCUUUUUGUAAGUCAAUGGAUAAUAGAUCAGAAGGAACCUUUUAAAAUAUCUUGAAUUUCUCUCUUUUUUUUUUUUUUUUUUUUUUUGAAUAAAACAACUUUAGGAAAAAAUGCAAGCUGAAGGUCCAAGGUCACCUGAAAUACGAUCUGUGAUGUCCUUGCUCACUCUGGUGGGUUGAUGCCACCUUAUGGAGCUAGAGGUUCACUACACCACAUGUUGCAAUAGCCACAAAAACCUAAGUUCCAAAAGAAGCACUCACAACUUAAAUUUAGUUGAUAGAAAACCAUUUCACUGUAUAACUAAAAGGCAGGGGGUUAAAUACUAAAUGCUUCUAUAAUAUUUUUUAAGAACUUAAAGCUCUUUGUUUUUACAUUGUAUAUUAUUAAUCAGAUAUAAGAUUCGCUUUCCAUUGGCAAUGUAAUAGAGUUUUUAAAGCAAGUGUGCCUUCCUAUUUUGAACAUUCAGAAAAGAUUAACUCCUGCAUUAGUUCCUUGCUGUUUCCACUUUAUCAUUUUAUUUUACCCUUAAUUUCUCUGUU